UACGGGGGGGGCAAGCGUUGUUCGGAAUUACUGGGCGUAAAGGGCUCGUAGGCGGCCCUCUCAGUCGGAUGUGAAAUCCCCCGGCUCAACCUGGGAAUGGCAUCCGAUACUGGAGGGCUUGAAUUCGGGAGAGGGAUGCAGAAUUCCAGGUGUAGCGGUGAAAUGCGUAGAUAUCAGGAGGAACACCUGCGGUGUAGACGGCUUACUGGACCAUAACUGACGCUGAGGCACGAAAGCGUGGGUAGCAAACAGG
rnacentral:rRNA from 1 species